GGCUGACACAUUUUAUAUCUCUAGGAUAUGAUUUUAUACUUAUUAGGUAGUUAUAUUAUCAUUCUUGUUUAUGUGUCCAUGAAUCAUUCAAUGAAUUAGCAAGAUGAUGACACAUAUUCUCAAAAAGUUGAGAAUUUGAGACAUGUGUCAUUAAUAGUUAAUUCCUAAAUUGCUCCUGAUCAUAGGAUCAUCAUGGGGAUGGUGACUGAUUCGGAUAGAUCAGUGCAUGGAUCAUUUCUUUCGGAUAGAUGGAUCUCGAGUCUGCAAUGUAGAGACCUGGAGCG
rnacentral:lncRNA from 1 species